UAGGGAAUCUUCCGCAAUGGACGCAAGUCUGACGGAGCAACGCCGCGUGAGUGAAGAAGGAUUUCGGUUCGUAAAACUCUGUUGUUAGAGAAGAACAGCGCAUAGAGUAACUGUUACGCGUGUGACGGUAUCUAACCAGAAAGCCACGGCUAACUACGUGCCAGCAGCCGCGGUAAUACGUAGGUGGCAAGCGUUGUCCGGAUUUAUUGGGCGUAAAGCGAGCGCAGGCGGUCAAUUAAGUCUGAUGUGAAAGCCCCCGGCUCAACCGGGGAGGGUCGUUGGAAACUGGUUGACUUGAGUGCAGAAGAGGAGAGUGGAAUUCCAUGUGUGACGGUGAAAUGCGUAGAUAUAUGGAGGAACACCAGUGGCGAAGGCGACUCUCUGGUCUGUAACUGACGCUGAGGCUCGAAAGCGUGGGUAGCAAACAGG
rnacentral:rRNA from 1 species